rnacentral:lncRNA from 1 species
CAGCUCACUACAACCUCUGCCUCCUGGGUUCAAGUGAUUCUCCUGCCUCAGCCUCCCAAGGAGCUGGUAUUACAUGAGCCUGCCACAACACCCAGCUAAUUUUUUUUUUAAUUUUAGUAGAGCUGGAAUUUUACCAUGUGGCCAGGCUGGUAUUGAACUUCUAACAUCAGGUGAUCCAUCUGCCUCAUCCUCGCAAAGUUCUGGGAUUACAAGCAUGAGCCACUGCGCCCAGCCAUGGUUCCUGACUACACCUUUGGUGCUCUUACUUGGAAAUUCACUUAUUGGAUGGGAAAGCUCAAGGCAUCACAUGUAUUAUUAAAAUGAAGCUGAUAAAACUAUAGAAAAACAAGAAGUCUGAGGACAGAGAAGUGAACAAGAGUGGCAUAAUGUCAGUUUGUGUGGAUCUUACAUUCCAGUGGAAGACAAAAGAGAACAUCUAAAACUAGAGAAAGAAGAAUUAACUGCGAUGCAGAUAAUUGAGACCAAUGAUGUCAUGGUGUAUAUCUGAGUGACUGCCUUGUGGAUAAAUGGCCUUGAAAGAACCAGUAAUGUGAAAAUGAAGAGAAAGAACUUUCAAGGCAGAGGUAACACUUGUGUGAAGACCAUAAAUUUAAAAUAAAGAAGUUGCAUAAUUGAAUAACUAGAAAGUUGGUGUUGCUUAAAAAUAGCAGUUCAAAGGAGAGUGCUAUUGGAUAAGGUCGAAAAAAAAAGAGAGAGUCCAGCUCUACAGGACUUUGUAAGCAGAAUAAGGAGACCGGAUUUAUUUCAAAUACAAAGUGAAGUCAAUGAUAGACCUUAAAUAGGAAGUGAUUGUUUUUAUACAUUUGUAGCAGAUGAUUUUGGCCAGCAUGAUUUUGGGGAUGUGAUAGUGGCAAGUGUUAAACCAGAGAAACUUUCAGAAUAUCAGAUAACAAGUGUAAUAGGCAAUGAAAGUAGAGAGGGAUAGAAAUAGAUAGAUUCACUAUACAUUUGAAAAUAUUUACGGAUGAGUUGAAAGUGGUAGGGGAAAACAGAAUACUCAAUUAUAUUUUCUAGAUUUUUUAUUUAAGCAAGUAAAGUGGAUGAAUGAUGUGGUUCUUUCAAAUGAGGAAAAUCAGGGGAAGAAGUAGAUAAGGAGGUAGAAAUAAAACAUUUUGCUCGAUAUUAAUUUUUAAAUGACACAUAAUUCCAGAUUUAUUAAAUGAAUGAUUUCCUUUUAUUCAAAAGUCUUGGUUGCUAAUAACUUUUAGCUUAAUUUUUUCAUAGUUUGGAUAAAAGCCAAAAUCUCUCCUCAAACAUUAGAGAGAUAUUUCUAUAUGAAGGCAAAGAAGUUAGGAGAAAAUCAUAUCUGGG